rnacentral:rRNA from 1 species
CCUACGGGCGACAGCAGUGGGGAAUAUUGCGCAAUGGGCGAAAGCCUGACGCAGCGACGCCGCGUGAGGGAUGAAGGUCUUCGGAUCGUAAACCUCUGUCAGCAGGGAAGAACGGUCACUGUGCUAAUCAGCAGUGAAUUGACGGUACCUGUAUAAGCAGCACCGGCUAACUCCGUGCCAGCAGCCGCGGUAAUACGGAGGGUGCGAGCGUUGAUCGGAAUUACUGGGCGUAAAGCGCACGUAGGCGGUGUGUUAAGUCAAGAGUGAAAUACCAGCGCUCAACGUGGGUAAUGCCUGUGAAACUGGCAGACUGGAGUGUGUGAGAGGAUAGCGGAAUUCCAGGUGUAGGAGUGAAAUGCGUAGAUAUCAGGAGGAACAUCAUUAGCGAAGGCGACUAUCUGGCUCAUAACUGACGCUGAGGAGCGAAAGCGUGGGUAGCAAACAGGAUUAGAUACCCGUGUAGUC